AGAAUUGUCAUUCAAGACCAUAAUUAAAGGCAUAAUUACAUUGGAAUGGCGCGAUUUGAUAUAAAGAGGAUGUCGUUUGAGAUUUUUAUAAAUUUUUAAUCGAACUUUUGUUGUGUAGAAGCGACGUUGGUCAAAAUGUGUCAAGUGUUUAGAGCUAUUUUGAUGCUGGUAGUGAUUGCUAUGAUGCUACUAGCUACAGCUAUGGCAGCCCCAUCUCCAGUGCCACGCCCGGCUCCACAAUGGUUGGCCACACCAUAUGCUUACGCUUAUCCAUAUUAUUACAACAGUUAUUAUUAUGCUGCACCUGCCUAUGGUUAUGCAGUUUUAGGCUAGAAAAAAAACAAGCAUAAGCUGCAGCAUAAUAUGAAAGGCAAACGAAUUCCCGUACGGACUAAUCUGCAACUAUUUAUGUUAAUUGCUGCCACUUUGUAUAAUUAGAUCACGUAGUAUUACAUAAGUAUUUUAAUUAUAUAGUAUUAUGUUUAUAUAGAUGAAAAAAAACUGUAUUGUUUUUGCAUAAAUAUUUUUUUAUUAAACGAUUUAAUGAAGUUA